rnacentral:rRNA from 1 species
AACUUUCAACAACGGAUCUCUUGGUUCUGGCAUCGAUGAAGAACGCAGCGAAAUGCGAUAAGUAAUGUGAAUUGCAGAAUUCAGUGAAUCAUCGAAUCUUUGAACGCACAUUGCGCCCGCCAGUAUUCUGGCGGGCAUGCCUGUUCGAGCGUCAUUA